rnacentral:lncRNA from 1 species
GGGGAGGAUAAUGCUGGGAAAGCUAAAAGCUGCGCAAUAAAACAGACCUCGCCCCCUUUUUCACGAUCUUAUCUUCAUACUCCCACCCAAUUUACCCCCGGAACUUCUUCUUCUUCAGUCGAAGAACAGAAGCAACAGCAGAGACCUACACCCCUGCUCACCGUGAAACCAGCUGCACAUACACACACAGAUCCUCACUAAACGAGCUUUUAAUUCAAUGCAAAGUGAAAGUUAGUCUAUGCUUUUGGUUUUGAUUUCAAAAAUGCUGGAGUUGCUGUUCGAGAGGCUGUCGUCCGAGGUCGAGUUCGUUGGUUCCUAAUCCCGUUUUGCUGUUGUCUCUCCGAGUUGCUGUCGGGCGAUUGAAUUUGGACUCAAAAACUGACCGUGUACAAAUUUCAAAAUCGAAUUAAUUGAAAUCUCACAUUCAGCUCAUUUCCAGCACACGUGAGGUCUAUGUUCAAUCGCGAAGUUGCUGAUUUCAGUUUCCGUCUGUGGUUCCCGGCCGAUUUGUACCUGUUGUUUUUGAGGUCUGUGUUCAAUUUCGCUGCUGAUUUUAGCCAUUGUUGUGUAAGCUUGUUUGUAUUUUUCUUUCUACAUUGGUAAGCUUCAUUUGAUAUAUAUCAUGCCAUUUACCUUGAUGCCUACUUAUGCUAUUGAGAGUGCCGGUAACUUGUGAAUCUAUUGCUAAAUUUUCUUUACUCUUAUGUUCACAAAUAGUUUUGGAAACGAAAACUGCAAUGUAAACUAGAUAUUAGACAAUCUCCGUUCAUUAACAUGUGUGCUUUCCUGUAUUUUUCUUAGAGUAGAGACCAUAUUAAAGAAAAAUAAAUAAUUGUUGUGUUAUACAAGGUUUUUGCUCUGAUUUUUACAUGAAACCUUUUGCAUCAAGUUUGGUCCAUCUCAUUUGAACUUGAAUACACCUGGAUGUUUCCAUUUGCCAAGUUCUAUAGAUAGUG